rnacentral:rRNA from 1 species
UGGGGAAUCUUAGACAAUGGGGGAAACCCUGAUCUAGCCAUGCCGCGUGAGUGAUGAAGGCCCUAGGGUCGUAAAGCUCUUUCGCCAGGGAUGAUAAUGACAGUACCUGGUAAAGAAACCCCGGCUAACUCCGUGCCAGCAGCCGCGGUAAUACGGAGGGGGUUAGCGUUGUUCGGAAUUACUGGGCGUAAAGCGCACGUAGGCGGACUGUUAAGUCAGAGGUGAAAUCCCGGGGCUCAACCCCGGAACUGCCUUUGAUACUGAUCGUCUUGAGUCCGAGAGAGGUGAGUGGAAUUCCUAGUGUAGAGGUGAAAUUCGUAGAUAUUAGGAAGAACACCAGUGGCGAAGGCGGCUCACUGGCUCGGUACUGACGCUGAGGCGCGAAAGCGUGGGGAGCAAACAGGAUUAGAUACCCCGGUAGUCC